AAUCCGCUGUGCCAUCGAGCAUGGCAGAGCAGUCUGCCGCCAUGGACGCUCAAGGGGGUGGGCUGGAGUGAAGCCCCGUUCACACUGC